AAAUUGCACUCCUUUCUUGCCUCCUCCAUGUUAAAUUUUAUUUCUGGAUGUUGAAACACUCGCUAUACCAACGAGGCCUCCCAGAAGACUUUAGGCUCUGAGGAGUCUGGAUCCUGCACACACUCUACAUCUCUUCUUUCAAGCUUUCUGACUUCCCCCCCUUCCACUCAGUUUUAGGAUGUGGUUUGCACUAAUCAUGAACAGGUAGAUCCGCUGUACUGAAGAACUUGAGAACCUAGUACUGAACUCAUGAGGGGUCAGCGUGAUUUCCUGCAAAAUUUUGUCAAAGCAGUGACUUCUGCUACAGUGGAUUCCUAUGUUGCUCUUUUGGUCCUUUGAUCCAGAGCAGUAUCGACUUCAAAAGCUGAAGUUAAAACUAUGUGAGUCUUUUGACUACAGCCAAACGUAGACACCUGCAGACGUGACUGUAUUUAAAGCACUGAGUCCACCUAGCUCAUGUUGAAAUAGAAGGAAAUUGCUGCUGGUUCGUAUCGGCUGAAGCAGCUCUGGUUUUUUACUUUAUGAAGUCUAAUCCCUUAGGUCUGUGUGCUUUGAUGCAAAGGCAAGGUGUUGAAGAACACCUAGAAGACGGUGUUUUAAUAUUAGCUAAAUUUUGGACUCCUCUUAAUGUCUUUUAUCAGAAAAAAAGGGUACACCACACCCCACCACCACGCCAAAAUUGAGCUUGAUCACCUAUCCUAGGAAAGGAGGAGAACUUGGACAGAAGGUGCCAGUAAUUCAGAUGCAAGAGUAGGAGCUAGCUAUGCUGAAAUCACUCAAAAAGCUUUGUGGUUUGUUUUUUUUUUAAAUUCUGAAAAAUCCAACCUGUGCAAAGAUACUGAAAGGAGAUUACAGUAGUAGAAUACUUGACUUGCAUGAAGUUUGUUUCUCCUUUGUACUGUACCAACAGGAACAGUGCUGAAACGGGAUGUUUAAGCACUAUGGAGAUACAAGCAAACAAAAAUAUUCAGUGUUACAAAACAUGAUCUGGAUGAGAAGCCUUGUGAAGGCAGAGGGGAAAGCAUAAUAAUGUGUCAGGUAAAUAAUGUGUUUUUUGUUGGGUAUUUUAAAUUUUUUUUCUUUUUUCAAACCCAUGCAGGUUGGCAGUGGAGGGGGGAAAGCAAAUCAGUUCCCUUUUGUGCCUCCAGCCAUGACCAACCAGCUACAGGCUAUAGCCUUGCAUCUCACUGAACUGGCAAAGGUGAAUGAUGGUGAGCUCUGUGGUUUUCAGAUUUUCAUAGCUACAGAUGGAAAUUUUUACAUGAAAGAAAGGAGGUGAAGGAAGGUCAAGAUUCAGCUCCCCUGGCUGCAUAUGCAGGGUGGGGAAAAUGUAUCCAAAUCCUAACAAAAAUCCACCUAACAGCAAGGUUGUGAAUACCUGUAGCUCUGCUGGUACUUGCUCCCCAACUGCUUAUCACUGUCCUGUCUUCCAUUUUAUCCUUGCAAUUCAAGGUAGAAACCAUGCUGCUUCUGAGAGUCCUUGAUAUGCAUCGCGUAUUUUCAGUUGUUCAUGAAAUAAUAAAAGCUUGACGACGCCUGGUUUGGUUUCACUACAGUUUCUGGUGAGCAAGUACCUUCUUCAGAAAUACAGCCACGCUGUUGUACUUGACCUGCAAGAGGAGGGCAGAGUCUUGAUUUCUACGUAGCAGAUGCAAGAGUUGAAUUGACUGAGAACCCUGACAAGGCUGAAAACAGCACCUUAAAAAAAGGCUGGUUUGGUUUUUUGGUUUGUUUUUGGUUUGUUGGUUGGUUUGGUGUUUGUUUUUGGGGGGGAAGGGAAGGGGUUUGGCUUUUGUUUUGGUUUUUUUGUUUGUUUGUUUUUCAGGGACAAGUAGAGGAUAAGGGUACUACAGUCUCUUUUGGACAAAUCAACUCAGGUCGAUAGGUAGUGAUGGACAUGCUUGGGCUACUUCUGCCUGGCUUAAGCCUGCAGCCCAAUUGAAUAAGGAAGCCAGUGCAGAGAGUGGAAGCUAUCUAGUAAGCUGCAGUGUGUCUGCGUGGGACUCUGCAUUUGCUGUCACAAAGGAGAAGCACCUUUCCGUUCAAAGAGCAUGUCUGCCUGGUAGAUUGGUAUAAGGUCUCAUGUACCUGGUCCUCAGCCACUGCUCAUGUUGGAGUAGACACACCUUGCUUGUGCCAUUCACUGACUGGGCAGUCGUGGCUUUUGCUGUGAAGGUUCUCACUGAUGUGUGUUGUUGUUUUUUUUUUUUGCCCC